rnacentral:rRNA from 1 species
GACGAACGCUGGCGGCGUGCUUAACACAUGCAAGUCGAACGGACAGGCCCUGCUUUUGUUGGGUGCUCGAGAGGCGAACGGGUGAGUAACACGUGUGUAACCUGCCCUUGUCUGUGGGAUAACUUCUGGAAACUGGGGCUCAUACCGGGUAGGAGCUCCUGCUGCAUGGUGGGGGUUGGAAAGUUUCGGCGGUUGGGGAUGGUCUCGCGGCUUAUCAGCUGGUUGGUGAGGUAGUGACUUACCAAGGCUUUGACGGGUAGCCGGCCUGGGAGGGGUACCGGCGACAUGGCGACUGCGAUACGCAGCAGACGCCUACGGGAGGCAGCAGUGGAGAGUAUGGCAGAAUGGCGGGAAGCCUGAUGCAGCAACGCCGCGUGCGGGAUGACGGCUUACGAGUGGUAAACCGAUUUCUCCGGUGCCGAACCGUGAGUGACGGUAAUGGGUAAGGAAGCCCCGGCUAACUACGUG